UACGUAGGUGGCAAGCGUUGUCCGGAUUUAUUGGGUUUAAAGGGUGCGUAGGCGGCUUUGUAAGUCAGUGGUGAAAUAUGGCAGCUCAACUGUCAGGGUGCCAUUGAUACUGCAGAGCUUGAGUACAGAUGAGGUAGGCGGAAUUGACGGUGUAGCGGUGAAAUGCUUAGAUAUCGUCAAGAACACCGAUAGCGAAGGCAGCUUACUGGGCUGUAACUGACGCUGAGGCACGAAAGUGUGGGGGAUCAA
rnacentral:rRNA from 1 species